AUUGAACGCUGGCGGCAGGCCUAACACAUGCAAGUCGAACGGUAACAGGGAUCAGCUUGCUGAUUCGCUGACGAGUGGCGGACGGGUGAGUAAUGUCUGGGAAACUGCCUGAUGGAGGGGGAUAACUACUGGAAACGGUAGCUAAUACCGCAUAACGUCGCAAGACCAAAGAGGGGGACCUUCGGGCCUCUUGCCAUCGGAUGUGCCCAGAUGGGAUUAGCUAGUAGGUGGGGUAACGGCUCACCUAGGCGACGAUCCCUAGCUGGUCUGAGAGGAUGACCAGCCACACUGGAACUGAGACACGGUCCAGACUCCUACGGGAGGCAGCAGUGGGGAAUAUUGCACAAUGGGCGCAAGCCUGAUGCAGCCAUGCCGCGUGUAUGAAGAAGGCCUUCGGGUUGUAAAGUACUUUCAGCGGGGAGGAAGGGAGUAAAGUUAAUACCCUUGCUCAUUGACGUUACCCGCAGAAGAAGCACCGGCUAACUCCGUG
rnacentral:rRNA from 1 species